UAGCUAGUUGGUGAGGUAACGGCUUACCAAGGCGACGAUCUGUAGCGGGUCUGAGAGGAUGAUCCGCCACACUGGAACUGAGACACGGUCCAGACUCCUACGGGAGGCAGCAGUGGGGAAUUUUGGACAAUGGGGGCAACCCUGAUCCAGCCAUGCCGCGUGAGUGAAGAAGGCCUUCGGGUUGUAAAGCUCUUUCGGCCGGGAAGAAAUCGCAUGGGCCAAUACCCUGUGUGGAUGACGGUACCGGAAUAAGAAGCACCGGCUAACUACGUGCCAGCAGCCGCGGUAAUACGUAGGGUGCGAGCGUUAAUCGGAAUUACUGGGCGUAAAGCGUGCGCAGGCGGUUUUGUAAGACAGGCGUGAAAUCCCCGGGCUCAACCUGGGAACUGCGUUUGUGACUGCAAGGCUAGAGUACGGCAGAGGGGGGUGGAAUUCCACGUGUAGCAGUGAAAUGCGUAGAGAUGUGGAGGAACACCAAUGGCGAAGGCAGCCCCCUGGGUCGAUACUGACGCUCAUGCACGAAAGCGUGGGUAGCAAACAGGAUUAGAUACCCUGUAGUCCACGCCCUAAACUAUGUCAACUAGGUGUUGGGUGGGUAAAACCAUUUAGUACCGUAGCUAACGCGUGAAGUUGACCGCCUGGGGAGUACGGCCGCAAGGUUAAAACUCAAAGGAAUUGACGGGGACCCGCACAAGCGGUGGAUGAUGUGGAUUAAUUCGAUGCAACGCGAAAAACCUUACCUACCCUUGACAUGCCAGGAACUUGCCAGAGAUGGCUUGGUGCCCGAAAGGGAGCCUGACACAGGUGCUGCAUGGCUGUCGUCAGCUCGUGUCGUGAGAUGUUGGGUUAAGUCCCGCAACGAGCGCAACCCUUGUCGUUAAUUGCCAUCAUUUAGUUGGGCACUUUAGCGAGACUGCCGGUGACAAACCGGAGGAAGGUGGGGAUGACGUCAAGUCCUCAUGGCCCUUAUGGGUAGGGCUUCACACGUCAUACAAUGGUCGGUACAGAGGGUCGCCAAGCCGCGAGGUGGAGCCAAUCCCAGAAAGCCGAUCGUAGUCCGGAUUGCAGGCUGCAACUCGCCUGCAUGAAGUCGGAAUCGCUAGUAAUCGUGGAUCAGCAUGUCACGGUGAAUACGUUCCCGGGUCUUGUACACACCGCCCGUCACACCAUGGGAGCGGGUUCCGCCAGAAGUAGGUAGCCUAACCGCAAGGAGGGCGCUUACCACGGCAGGGUUCGUGACUGGGGUGAAGUCGUAACAAGGUAGCCGUAGGGGAACCUGCGGCUG
rnacentral:rRNA from 1 species